UCGGUGCGGCCAUCGUCCCUUUCUCUGCUAGGUGGGUCUAAAAAGCCAAAGAAAACUCUCACGAUCUCUCUCCCCUCACACGAUUUCCCCUUUUUGGUUCUCUCCUCACUCGCAAAGCAUAGCGGCGGCGCUAGGGUUAGGGUUAACGCAGGCAGGCCACCGGCCACCGGCCACCGCUGAUGUCGCGCGCCUCCACGCUGGCUCCAUCCUCCGCUGAUGCCGCACGCCUCCACGCUGGUUCCGUCCUCCGUUGAUGCCGCCCGCUUCCUCGCCGACUCCGUCCUCCCCUGAUGCCGCCGGCCAAGUCUCCUGCUCCGACCUCCGCUGAUGCCGCCCGGCUCCUCCCUGGCGCCGUCUUUCUCUGUCCUCCGCUGAUGCCGCUCACCUCCUCUCCGGCUCCGUCCAUCUCCGGCCAACCUCCCUCACGGUGUAGAUGGUGAGGAUGAUGUGGUGUGAGACUGGGAGAGGGCAUGCCGGCAGCUGCAGAGGACGGAGUGGAAGUAUGCAGAGGAACAUAUCUGCUGGCACUUGACAUCCAACUUGCCUGAGGGCAGAGAAGAAUGGUGGUCGAUCCAAUACAGUUGACUAAUCAGCUAAGUAAUUCAGUCCGUUUCUUUCUUCAGGUCUUUGAUUUGUUUCUCUUCUCCUUCUAAAUUGGAUUAUGUUUGCUGACCUCGCCCCCGUUGUAAUUGCUUAUAGAUCGGUCAACGGCGAGCUGAUACCUCGAUGGCGGAAGGCGGAGGUCGAGGACGAGGAUGGAGACGGACACAGAGGUCGGAGAAGAUCGAUGUUCGAAAUUCAUAUCCGAAGUCCUAUUUUGAAAAAAAAAUUAGAGUUUCGGGAUUUUUUGCAAAAAAUACUUUGUACUGCUGCUCAAACAUUUUCCCUGGGAUGGAGGGAGUACAAGAUUAAGAUGUCUAUAAAAAAACCUAACAGCUAGAUAAUCGUCUUUAGUCAA